CGCGGCGAGGAGGAGGACGAGGAGCGCGCGAGGAAGAGGGCAGAAACGCGUCGAAUGUGCGGCUUUAAUUCACCUCAAACGAUUUCUGCAACACGAGGACGUGGCAGAAGAUUCAGUUCUUCACGAGGACGUAUGAAUGCAGAUCUCGAUGAGAGGAUCCGCUGUGGAUCAUAACUGUGGAUUUGUUUUAACAACCGACGUGGAAGGAAAAGUUUUCGUGGGAGUCUGCCUUUGGAUGAAAGAAGCUGCAACACGUCCAGGAGUUUGCCAACAAGACAAACGGGCGCCAUUAAACACUCGCUCGCCUUCAGAUCGUCGGUGACGAAGCAAAGUCGAGGCUGGUGGAGUUGACAAGGACGGAGAUGCGGCGGCCGCUUCAAGGUUAACGCACACUGGAGGGAGUGUGUGGAGUGUGAACAGUGGAGGAAGCGUCGCGACCUGUGUCACGUGUUUGUGUAUCAACACUUUUAACAUGCACCACAUUUUGUAUCAGCACCAAAAGAUGAAACCAAUCUUAUAAAAUCAUUAAAUUACAUCUUUCCCGUU